rnacentral:rRNA from 1 species
GCGAACGCUGGCGGCAGGCUUAACACAUGCAAGUCGAACGGGCACUUCGGUGCUAGUGGCAGACGGGUGAGUAACACGUGGGAACGUACCUUUCGGUUCGGAAUAAUUCAGGGAAACUUGGACUAAUACCGGAUAAGCCCUUCGGGGGAAAGAUUCAUCGCCGAUAGAUCGGCCCGCGUCUGAUUAGCUAGUUGGUGAGGUAAUGGCUCACCAAGGCGACGAUCAGUAGCUG